UGGCGGCGUGCCUACACAUGCAAGCCGUGCGAGAAAGUUCCUUCGGGAGCGAGUAAAGCGGCGCACGGGUGAGUAACACGUAGGUAACCUGCCCCCCAGUCUGGAACAACUAGAGGAAACUCUAGCUAAUGCCGGAUGAGACCACGAUCCCUUCGGGGGGUUGCGGCCAAAGAUGGCCUCUACUUGUAAGCUAUCGCUGAGGGAUGGGCCUGCGGGCCAUUAGCUUGUUGGUGAGGUAACGGCUCACCAAGGCUGUGAUGGCUAGCUGGUCUGAGAGGAUGACCAGCCACACUGGGACUGAGACACGGCCCAGACUCCUACGGGAGGCAGCAGUGGGAAUAUUGCGCAAUGGGCGAAAGCCUGACGCAGCGACGCCGCGUGGGUGAUGAAGGCCUUCGGGUCGUAAAGCCCUGUCGCAGGGGAAGAAUAAGCAUCGGUAUAAUACGCCGGUGCCCUGACGGUACCCUGCAAGAAAGCACCGGCUAACUCCGUG
rnacentral:rRNA from 1 species